UGUAAGUUGUAUAAAGAAGACUAACAUGUGCAAUGGAAUGUGCAAAAAUUCUUUUUCUUUUUUUGGCCACUACUCAGCAGCGCCAGUUUGGGGCAGAGCAUGAUCCAGCAGGGACAGACCUGGCCCAGGAGUUACAACACUGACUUUUUUCCUUCCUUACUACAAGUUGUUCCAUCUUUUUAUCCUGCUUGUAAAAUGAGAGCAGUGGUAUUUAUUUGCUGUUGUAAACAAUGCAUCAAAACUUGUAUAUCAGUCUAUCCUAAAUAAUGACUGAAGAUAUCUGCUUCUAAACUCCUAUGGGUUUCCUUUGGAACAAUUCGUCUGCAUUUGUGGCUGCUCAUAUGUUCGUAUCCAAUGCACUUUCCUACAGGAAGUGGAAAAAAAAUGGUUGUCACGAGUCUAUACAACCAUACUAAAUUAGAUUCACUCCAUAAACACGACAAGAAUGUCCUUUAUGGAAGCCUACUAUCCCACAGAAGAGUGGGCUGUGUGGAAACGGAGGCAGAUGAUCUUACACGUGCCUUCUCUUAGCACUUGCUGCCACAUGAGGAGUUAAUAUUUGAUUAGACAGUACUGUAGCUAUGACACCUGUUCACCAGGGAGACUAGGCCAACAACUGAUGUAAUCUACCUUAUUAUACACUUAAUGAUAGAGGAGAAGUGCUGCUUUUUCAGCUUCCCACGUCUGCUUUUCAUUUCCUCUCCUACACAUUCCUGAGGGGUCAUGUUCUGUGCCUCGCAAAAGCAAACAAACAACUACAAAACCUCUCCCCCUCUCUCUGUGAUCCUCUGCAAUUUGCUUGGAAGAAAAGAAGUUAAAAAUUUCCACUGUACUGUGUGUUCCUGAAAAGAAGUCUACUUAUUUGCAGUUAUUAAUUUACAUGUGUUGGCUAGAUUUCUCUGACCACAACAGACCAGGAAAAGACAGUGUUGGUACUAAAGUUACUUAGAAGAGCUCUGAUUUUUCCUAUCAGCAAAUCAAGCACCUGGCCACAGAUCCCAGAUCCUAACACAAAUGCCAUUUCAGACUCCCAGGCUUUGACCAUCUUUCAGUUUUCUGAAAAGGUUUCUCCCCUCCCAAAUGAGAGAGUUCACCAUCUUUCCCUGAAGAAAUGUUUAUCUCGGAGCAGAGGAGGAGAGCUGCAGCUUCUUUUUAUUGUUACUGGUACUCCACAUCAUAACAUCAUGUAGUGAACGUACCUGGUCC